UACGUAGGCAGCGAGCGUUGUUCGGAGUUACUGGGCGUAAAGGGUGUGUAGGCGGUUCUUUAAGUUUGGUGUGAAAUCUCCCGGCUCAACCGGGAGGGUGCGCCGAAUACUGAGGGACUAGAGUGCGGGAGAGGAAAGUGGAAUUCCUGGUGUAGCGGUGAAAUGCGUAGAUAUCUGGAGGAACACCGGUGGCGAAGGCGGCAUCCUGGACCAAUAUUGACGCUGAGGAGCGAAAGCCAGGGGAGCAAACGGG
rnacentral:rRNA from 1 species